AUGAAAAAGGAUGGGGGUGGCCCCAGGUCUCCUUCAAAGCCCCCAGCUCUCCUUCGAAGCCCCCAGGUCUCCUUCAAAGCCCCCAGCUCUCCUUCGAAGCCCCCAGGUCUCCUUCAAAGCCCCCAGGUCUCCUUCGAAGCCCCCAGCUCUCCUUCGAAGCCCCCAGGUCUCCUUCGAAGCCCCCAGCUCUCCUUCGAAGCCCCCAGGUCUCCUUCGAAGCCCCCAGCUCUCCUUCGAAGCCCCCAGGUCUCCUUCAAAGCCCCCAGGUCUCCUUCGAAGCCCCCAGCUCUCCUUCGAAGCCCCCAGGUCUCCUUCGAAGCCCCCAGCUCUCCUUCGAAGCCCCCAGGUCUCCUUCGAAGCCCCGCCUACAAGGAGAAUUCAGGGAGACAGAGAAGUGAUGUCCGUCCUCUCGUCCUCCCCUCCUCCCCAGCAAGGGCAUCCUCACAGCGCAGCGAGGGCAGCCCGGCUAGCAGUGGGUUUCGUAAGAGAAUGACGGAUUUCCUUCCUAGUGUUUCUGUUCUGGCAAGUGUGUACACACGCGCAUGCACACGCACACACACAGACACACACACACACAUCACUGCUAAAAUACAUUCAUCCCAAAGAAAGGUUGGGGCGGAACUCCCCCCAGCACUCCCCUCGUGUUUGAUGUCGGUUUGUCGCUUGUUUUUGAGCCCUCCCGACUUGUUUCCUUCACUGUGGGUCAAACUACGCUUUGGGAUCGGGCAAGGAGAUCUCCCACCAGCUCGUGGUCAAAAGCCGAGCACAGGUUCCAGUCGCCGCGACUCCUGGUUCUGCGGGGGCCUGGAGCUUUGCAGACGCGGUGCCACACACCGGCCUGGGCCCGCUCGGUGGUGCUGCUGCUCCAGGUGUUCACCACCACGUCUGCGUGGCCCGGGGAUACCCAUUAAUUGCCCAGCUCUCCCCGGAAGCCCUCGGGUUGCAGGGACUGCUCCGGCGGGGCUGGGUCCCUUGUCAUGCCACAGCACGAACAGUCAGCAGGAGGGACCCCAGCAGCUGCAGCCUGGGCUCCAUCUCAGAAGAAUCUCCCGGUGGCCCCAGCCCAGGCCCUGCCUCCCGCGACACUGCCCAGGUGCACCUGAUCCCUAUCUGCCCCUCCCACUCCAAACACUUCCCGCGAGGGGGCUUCUGCGCCUGUGCUGA
rnacentral:lncRNA from 1 species